rnacentral:sRNA from 1 species
CAGGUGCUGCUGAGCGAGCCCGAGGAGGCGGCGGCUCUGUAUCGGGGCCUUAGCCGCCAGCCCGCGCUGAGCGCCGCCUGCCUGGGCCCGGAGGUCACCACGCAGUACGGCGGCCAAUACCGGACGGUGCACACUGAGUGGACCCAGAGGGACCUGGAACGCAUGGAGAACAUUCGAUUCUGCCGCCAAUACCUGGUGUUCCAUGAUGGGGACUCAGUGGUGUUUGCAGGACCUGCAGGCAACAGUGUGGAGACCCGGGGGGAACUGCUGAGCAGAGAGUCUCCUUCAGGCACCAUGAAAGCUGUGCUGCGCAAGGCUGGAGGCACGGGCCCUGGGGAAGAGAAGCAGUUCCUGGAGGUCUGGGAGAAGAACCGGAAGCUCAAGAGCUUCAACCUGUCAGCACUGGAGAAACAUGGGCCUGUUUAUGAGGAUGGUGAGGCAUCUGGCUGGUGAGCAGGCAGGGUGGACAGGAGGGGUAGCCGUAGCCCUGGGCCCCCCCUGAUUGGCCCUCCCUGCACCCAGACUGCUUUGGCUGCCUGUCCUGGUCGCACUCGGAGACACACUUGUUGUAUGUGGCAGAGAAGAAGCGCCCCAAGGCCGAGUCCUUCUUUCAGACCAAAGCCUUGGACGUCAGUGCCAGCGAUGAUGAGAUAGCCAGGCUGAAGAAGCCAGACCAAGCCAUCAAGGUGCUCGUGGUCA